GCAGCCCAGCCCUGACCCUGCAGCUCUGGGAGAGGAGCCCAGCCCCAGAAUUCCCAGGUGUUUCUCUUCGGCCAUCAGCAGUAAACACACAGAACACACCAUGGAGUUUGUGCUGAGCUGGGUUUUCCUUGUUGCUCUUUUGAAAGGUGUCCAGUGUGAGGUGCAGCUGGUGGAGUCUGGGGGCGGUUUGGCAAAGCCUGGGGGGUCUCUGAGACUCUCCUGCGCAGCCUCCGGAUUCACCUUCAGUAGCUACUGGAUGCACUGGGUCCGCCAGGCUCCAGGGAAGGGGCUGGAGUGGGUCUCAGCUAUUAAUAGUGGUGGGGGUAGCACAUACUAUGCAGACUCCGUGAAGGGCAGAUUCACCAUCUCCAGAGAGAACGCCAAGAACACGCUAUAUCUUCAAAUGGACAGCCUGAAAGCCGAGGACACGGCUGUGUAUUACUGUGCGAGAGACACAGUGAGGGGAAGUCGGUGUGAGCCCAGACACAAACCUCCCUGCCUCCCUGCAGGGGCGCGCGGGGCCUCCAGGGGGCGCUCGGGACCCACCGAUCAGAGUCAGCCCAGAGACGAUCCUUACCGAGGAGAUGAGAAGUUCCCACCCGUGGUGGCCACGAUCAGAGUCCUGAGGAAGCUCAGGCUUCCCGGUGAGUCUUCUCCAGUCAGACUCAGGACAGGAGCCUGA